AGCGAACCGGGGGAACUGAAACAUCUAAGUACCCCGAGGAAAAGAAAUCAACCGAGAUUCCCCCAGUAGCGGCGAGCGAACGGGGAGCAGCCCAGAGUCUGAAUCAGCUUGUGUGUUAGUGGAACGGUCUGGAAAGUCCGACGGUACAGGGUGAUAGUCCCGUACACCAAAAUGCACAGGUUGUGAACUCGAAGAGUAGGGCGGGACACGUGGUAUCCUGUCUGAAUAUGGGGGGACCAUCCUCCAAGGCUAAAUACUCCUGACUGACCGAUAGUGAACCAGUACCGUGAGGGAAAGGCGAAAAGAACCCCGGCGAGGGGAGUGAAAAAGAACCUGAAACCGUGUACGUACAAGCAGUGGGAGCCUCUUUAUGGGGUGACUGCGUACCUUUUGUAUAAUGGGUCAGCGACUUAUAUUCUGUAGCAAGGUUAACCGUAUAGGGGAGCCGAAGGGAAACCGAGUCUUAACUGGGCGUUAAGUUGCAGGGUAUAGACCCGAAACCCGGUGAUCUAGCCAUGGGCAGGUUGAAGGUUGGGUAACACUAACUGGAGGACCGAACCGACUAAUGUUGAAAAAUUAGCGGAUGACUUGUGGCUGGGGGUGAAAGGCCAAUCAAACCGGGAGAUAGCUGGUUCUCCCCGAAAGCUAUUUAGGUAGCGCCUCGUGAACUCAUCUUCGGGGGUAGAGCACUGUUUCGGCUAGGGGGUCAUCCCGACUUACCAACCCGAUGCAAACUGCGAAUACCGAAGAAUGUUAUCACGGGAGACACACGGCGGGUGCUAACGUCCGUCGUGAAGAGGGAAACAACCCAGACCGCCAGCUAAGGUCCCAAAGUCAUGGUUAAGUGGGAAACGAUGUGGGAAGGCACAGACAGCCAGGAUGUUGGCUUAGAAGCAGCCAUCAUUUAAAGAAAGCGUAAUAGCUCACUGGUCGAGUCGGCCUGCGCGGAAGAUGUAACGGGGCUAAACCAUGCACCGAAGCUGCGGCAGCGACACUAUGUGUUGUUGGGUAGGGGAGCGUUCUGUAAGC
rnacentral:rRNA from 1 species